rnacentral:rRNA from 1 species
GGAUGAACGCUGGCGGCGUGCCUAAUACAUGCAAGUCGAGCGAACAGACGAGGAGCUUGCUCCUCUGACGUUAGCGGCGGACGGGUGAGUAACACGUGGAUAACCUACCUAUAAGACUGGGAUAACUUCGGGAAACCGGAGCUAAUACCGGAUAAUAUAUUGAACCGCAUGGUUCAAUAGUGAAAGACGGUUUUGCUGUCACUUAUAGAUGGAUCCGCGCCGCAUUAGCUAGUUGGUAAGGUAACGGCUUACCAAGGCAACGAUGCGUAGCCGACCUGAGAUGGUGAUCGGCCACACUGGAACUGAGACACGGUCCAGACUCCUACGGGAGGCAGCAGUAGGGAAUCUUCCGCAAUGGGCGAAAGCCUGACGGAGCAACGCCGCGUGAGUGAUGAAGGUCUUCGGAUCGUAAAACUCUGUUAUUAGGGAAGAACAAAUGUGUAAGUAACUAUGCACGUCUUGACGGUACCUAAUCAGAAAGCCACGGCUAACUACGUG